rnacentral:rRNA from 1 species
GAUGAACGCUGGCGGCGUGCUUAACACAUGCAAGUCGAACGGUGAAGCCCAGCUUGCUGGGUGGAUCAGUGGCGAACGGGUGAGUAACACGUGAGCAAUCUGCCCCUGACUCUGGGAUAAGCGCUGGAAACGGCGUCUAAUACUGGAUACGAACCGUGGAGGCAUCUUCAACGGUUGGAAAGAUUUUUUGGUCAGGGAUGAGCUCGCGGCCUAUCAGCUUGUUGGUGAGGUAAUGGCUCACCAAGGCGUCGACGGGUAGCCGGCCUGAGAGGGUGACCGGCCACACUGGGACUGAGACACGGCCCAGACUCCUACGGGAGGCAGCAGUGGGGAAUAUUGCACAAUGGGCGAAAGCCUGAUGCAGCAACGCCGCGUGAGGGAUGACGGCCUUCGGGUUGUAAACCUCUUUUAGCAGGGAAGAAGCGAAAGUGACGGUACCUGCAGAAAAAGCGCCGGCUAACUACGUGCCAGCAGCCGCCGUAAUAC